AGGGUGUAAACGCUGCAGACUUGGUGUUGGGAACCCUUCGGGGGUGCUCAGUGCCGGAGAGAAGUUGUUAAGUCUGCUACUUGGGGAGUACGUCCGCAAGGAUGAAACUUAAAGGAAUUGGCGGGGGAGCACAACAACGGGUGGAGCCUGCGGUUUAAUUGGACUCAACGCCGGACAACUCACCGGGGACGACAGCAAUAUGUAGGCCAGGCUGAAGACCUUGCCUGAAUCGCUGAGAGGUGGUGCAUGGCGUAGACGUCU
rnacentral:rRNA from 1 species